UAGCCGUAAACGAUACUCGCUAGGUGUCGGCCACGGUGCGACCGUUGUCGGUGCCGUAGGGAAGCCGUGAAGCGAGCCACCUGGGAAGUACGGCCGCAAGGCUGAAACUUAAAGGAAUUGGCGGGGGAGCACCACAACGGGUGGAGCUUGCGGUUUAAUUGGAUUCAACGCCGGAAAUCUUACCGGGACCGACAGCAAAAUGAAGGCCAGGCUGAAGACUUUGCCGGAUUAGCUGAGAGGAGGUGCAUGGCGUAGUCGUGU
rnacentral:rRNA from 1 species